rnacentral:lncRNA from 1 species
CAUCAUGGAGGCCAACAAAGUUUUGAACCAAAAAAACCCAAACCAAACAAACAAACAAAAACACACAAAAACCCAACAAAAACAGAAAACCAAACAAACAAUAAAAUUAAAACUAGAAAAAAGAAUUUAUAGAUAUAUAUAUAGAUAUAUAUAUAUAUAUAUGGGAAAGAAGAUGAGGACUCUUCAAGACAAGAAUGAGCCCUGCAGAGUGAUCCAGGCCUUUGGUUGCCUAGGUGGAUGGAAUGAUGGACGCUUCUUUCUCUUCACAAAUACCUCAUGGACGUCGUUGUCUUCAGAAAGCUGGAGUGGGGUGCGGCUGGGGCGGGGCCUGUCCCUCAGCCAGGGUGGAUGGAAGCGGGUGGGUGGGGCUGAGAGAGGAUGUCAGGGACAUGGGUGAAGAGCCCCAAGCUCCCUCCCCGCCAAUCAACUGAAAAAGCUUUAAAAGAAAAAAAAAAAA